rnacentral:misc_RNA from 1 species
AAAGUCGUAACAAGGUUUCCGUAGGUGAACCUGCGGAAGGAUCAUUAAUAGUAUUUAAAUUAUUACCUUAUUGUGCAUUGUCGUUUUGCUUAUUGCAGCAGGCGUUAUACAAGAAUAGUGUGUAUGGCGUGUGUGUGUGAGAUUGCUGUUGUGAAGAAUGAUGAUGGUAGUUACGGUGGGAUAGUUAAUGUGUGGAGUAGUGAGGGUCUCGCAGCUUUUGUUGUGUCACUUAACGCUUCGUAUAGUAACGGUUUCAUUUAUUAUUGUCACUUCACAACCAGUAUACACACAUACAUUAUGCGUCGUGUGUACAUUACUACUAUGUAUGACUUUUUAUUAAACAAACUUAUGUUUACUCUUAUAUAUUGUAAUGUUGUCGUUAUUUUUAACAGUUUUUAGCUGUAGUAUAAUAAUAUCAAUACAACUUACAGCGAUGGAUCUCUAGGCUCUG